GACAAACGCUGGCGGCGUGCUUAACACAUGCAAGUUGAACGGAAAGGCCCUGCUUUUGUGGGGUGCUCGAGUGGCGAACGGGUGAGUAACACGUGAGUAACCUGCCCUUGACUUUGGGAUAACUUCAGGAAACUGGGGCUAAUACCGGAUAGGAGCUCCUGCUGCAUGGUGGGGGUUGGAAAGUUUCGGCGGUUGGGGAUGGACUCGCGGCUUAUCAGCUUGUUGGUGGGGUAGUGGCUUACCAAGGCUUUGACGGGUAGCCGGCCUGAGAGGGUGACCGGCCACAUUGGGACUGAGAUACGGCCCAGACUCCUACGGGAGGAAGCAGUGGGGAAUAUUGCACAAUGGGCGGAAGCCUGAUGCAGCAACGCCGCGUGCGGGAUGACGGCCUUCGGGUUGUAAACCGCUUUCGCCUGUGACGAAGCGUGAGUGACGGUAAUGGGUAAAGAAGCACCGGCUAACUACGUG
rnacentral:rRNA from 1 species